ensembl:lncRNA
UAGUGCUCCUGCUCAGCCAUUGGUUGGAGCCAGGCCCCGCCCCCAAGCAACCAACUGUGAGCAAGGGUUAGUGAGGCAAUGCAAUCAACAGUCAGGGAGUGGUGGUUGUCAGCCAGAGAGUGAGGAAGCAUCUACUGAGAACCUGGUUAAACUCCACAAAAGCGGGAAUCACUUCUAUGCCUGGGUUCUCCUGGAGUUUUAAUUGUCAGUCUUCUCCACACGGAGUUUCCAGUAAUUUGUCAAUUACAGUUUAGGUGUUCCCACCACAGCACUGGUUUCCAUGGUGUUUUCACUCCUGGGCCUCUGUUCAGAAAAGUCACAGCUCUGUUUGCCUGAAUAAAAAGCACAUGUUGGAUUCCCUCUUAAAGUGGCCCUAGGAGACGCUUGGUUGAGAUGAGGGACUUUGAAAAUGGGAUCUGGUUAGCUAUGAUGCAGACAGGAAAUAUAGAUAUCACAGACUUUCCAUUUUAACUCUUAUUGUGCCUGUUGUUUCCCACAGCCUGCUGAGGGCCAGCUGUGGCUAUAGCCUGCAGAGUUCUUCAGGAAUAU